rnacentral:rRNA from 1 species
AGCAGCCGCGGUAAUUCCAGCUCCAAUAGCGUAUAUUAAAGUUGUUGCAGUUAAAAAGCUCGUAGUUGAAUUUCGGGAUCAAUAUGUUGGUCGUGCCUUGGUACGUACUGGCAUUAUCGAUUCCUACCUUCUGAAGAACCUCGAUGUCAUUAAUUUGGUGUCUUGGGGAAUCAGGACUGUUACUUUGAAAAAAUUAGAGUGUUUAAAGCAGGCUCGCGCUUGAAUACAUUAGCAUGGAAUAAUGAAAUAGGACGUUUGAUUCUAUUUUGUUGGUUUCUAGGAUCGACGUAAUGAUUAAUAGGGAUAGUUGGGGGCAUUAGUAUUCAAUUGUCAGAGGUGAAAUUCUUGGAUUUAUUGAAGACUAACUACUGCGAAAGCAUUUGCCAAGGAUGUUUUCAUUAAUCAAGAACGAAAGUUAGGGGAUCGAAGACGAUCAGAUACCGUCGUAGUCUUAACCAUAAACUAUGCCGACUAGGGAUCGGAUGAUGUUAAUUUUUUAAUGACUC